AAUACUCCAAUACUACCCGCUGAACUUAAGCAUAUCAAUAAGCGGAGGAAAAGAAACUAACAAGGAUUCCCCUAGUAACUGCGAGUGAAGCGGGAAGAGCUCAAAUUUAAAAUCUGGCAGUCUCUGGCUGUCCGAGUUGUAAUUUAGAGAAGUGUUGCCCGCGCUGGACCGUAUACAAGUCCUCUGGAAUGGGGCGUCAUAGAGGGUGAGAAUCCCGUCUUUGAUACGGACUACCAGUGCUUUGUGGUGCGCUCUCGAAGAGUCGAGUUGUUUGGGAAUGCAGCUCAAAAUGGGUGGUAAAUUCCAUCUAAAGCUAAAUAUAGGCGAGAGACCGAUAGCGAACAAGUACCGUGAGGGAAAGAUGAAAAGGACUUUGGAAAGAGAGUUAAACAGUACGUGAAAUUGCUGAAAGGGAAACGCUUGAAGUCAGUCGCGUCGUUCAAGAAUCAGCCUUGCUUUUGCUUGGUGCACUUUUUGUUCGACGGGUCAGCAUCAGUUUUGACCAUUGGAUAAGGGCCAGGGAAAUGUGGCAUCUUCGGAUGUGUUAUAGUCUCUGGUCGUAUACAGUGGUUAGGACUGAGGAACUCAGCACGCCGCAAGGACGGGUCUUUGACUACGUUACGUGCUUAGGAUGCUGGCAUAAUGGCUUUAAUCGACCCGUCUUGAAACACGGACCAAGGAGUCUAACAUGCCUGCGAGUGUUUGGGUGGAAAACCCGAGCGCGU
rnacentral:rRNA from 1 species